rnacentral:rRNA from 1 species
GUAGGGUGCGAGCGUUGCCCGGAUUUAUUGGGCGUAAAGGGCGCGCAGGCGGUACGGCACGUCCGUUGUGAAAUCGCUCGGCUCAACUGGGCGGGGUCAGCGGAUACGGCCGCACUUGAGCAAGCUAGGGGGCAAUGGAAUUCCCGGUGUAGUGGUGGAAUGCGUAGAUAUCGGGAGGAACACCAGUGGCGAAGGCGGUUGCCUGGAGCUUUGCUGACGCUGAGGCGCGAAAGCGUGGGGAGCGAUCCGGAUUAGAUACCCGGGUAGUCCACGCCGUAAACGAUGUCGACUAGGUGUCGGGGGUAUCGACCCCCUCGGCGCCGCAGCUAACGCAUUAAGUCGACCGCCUGGGGACUACGGCCGCAAGGCUA